CUAAAGUUCUCUAUAAAAGAACAUGCAAUCCUCAUUGGACAAUAACAACAAGCCAGUACAAUAAGCACAAUACAAUUGUCUCUGCACUCUUGUUCUUAAUGUUAUGUCUUGUCUAAGUGUUGAGAAAUACUUUCUGAGAGUACAACAUAGUUUAUGUUUUACUAAUAUCAUUGGGUUAAUAUGAAUUUGGCUAAAUUUCACUCUUGGUCCUUUAAGUUAUUAUUAGAUUUUACUUUGGUCCUAAUCAUUUAAGCUACAAACAUUAAACAUUUUGUUCUCUUAAGUUACAAAUAUUAUACACUUUAUCCUUUCUAAUAGUGUUUAACAUUGUAACCUAAGAGAUCAAAGUGUCUAAUUUUUUAAAUUUAUGGGACCAAAAAGUUUGACGUUUGUAACUUACGGGACUAAACCAAAAUGUCUAACAUUUAUAACUUAAGAGAUCAAAAUGAAACGACCAAAACUUAAAGAACUAGAGUUAAACCUAAAAAUAAAUUAGGGGACCAAAAUUGAACUUUGGAGUUGAAGGUAAUAGUUUAACACAUUGAUUAUACUAUAUAUAUUUUGAUAUAAGGGUUUGAGUAAAGAUUUGUGUUAUUAUGACUAACUUCGGUGACGAAGUUACAAGUUGAAACUUUAACACACCUCUUCUAUUUGAUGUAGAGAGAUUCAAAUACUGGAAAUGCAGACUCAAAAGUUUUUACAUCUCUCGUGAUCAUGAACUUUGGAACAUAGUCAAAGAUGGCUAUGAGGCUCCAAAAGACGUUUCUGGUGUUGAAAUAUCUAGAAAGUAUCUCAAUAUUCAUCAAAAGAAAUAAUACAAGAUGCAUUGUAAAGCUAGAACUUUCAUGAUGAAUGCUAUCACCUUCAAAGAGUUUUAAAAAUUCAGCAACAAGCAACCAACAAAGAGUAUAUUUGUUAGCAAACUUCACUUCCAAUAGCAACAACCCCGUCCACUUUUUCCUCACUACCUUUAUAGAUUUUUAUGUUCCAUCUUAAAUGUUUUUCGAACACUCAUCCCCUCACACAUUUAAUCCACCAACCUGUUUGGCCGUUCAUACCAUCACAGCUGCUAGAAACCACUUCUUUCUAUAAGAUAUUAUACUUGUAACCCAUACUUUGUGAUGGUAUAGAAUUUACUAAAAGGGGAUAAAAUUGGAAUGAUUAACAAAAUCACUGUAUCUAAUAUUUUCUUCGCUGUUUAGAGAAGACUUGAAAAAGGUGUGGGGGGAAUGUUUGUUUCUCUCGUCUCUAUUUCCUUGCAUUCCAAACGAAAGAAGUGGAUUAUUUCUCUUCUUUUUCUUUCUUCAGUGUAUCUCUUUUUCUAUUGAAACAGACACAAUAUUAUGUGUUUUAUCCCAUGAGAGAGAAGUGAAACAAAAUUAAUUGUGGUUGGUAUUUUGUUGUUGUCUUGAAAUAAGGGAUAAUGGACAAAAUAUCAUCUAGAGGGGAAAGAGAGAUUUGAAAAAUCUCAAAAUGAAGAGAAAAAUAAAAUAAUAUAGUUGACAUAGAGAAAGAAGAUUGAUUCUAUGAAUUAACAAUAAAAAUAGCAACAAACAAAUGCUUAUUAAUAGUUAUGCGAGGAGAGUGGAUUGAAAGAUUGACACCUAU
rnacentral:lncRNA from 1 species